rnacentral:rRNA from 1 species
UACGUAGGGUGCAAGCGUUAUCCGGAAUUAUUGGGCGUAAAGAGCUCGUAGGCGGUUUGUCGCGUCUGCUGUGAAAACUGGAGGCUCAACCUCCAGCCUGCAGUGGGUACGGGCAGACUAGAGUGCGGUAGGGGAGAUUGGAAUUCCUGGUGUAGCGGUGGAAUGCGCAGAUAUCAGGAGGAACACCGGUGGCGAAGGCGGGUCUCUGGGCCGAUACUGACGCUGAGGAGCGAAAGCGUGGGGAGCGAACAGGA